UGGGGAUGACGUCAAAUCAUCAUGCCCCUUAUGACCUGGGCUACACACGUGCUACAAUGGAUGGUACAACGAGUUGCGAACUCGCGAGAGUAAGCUAAUCUCUUAAAGCCAUUCUCAGUUCGGAUUGUAGGCUGCAACUCGCCUACAUGAAGUCGGAAUCGCUAGUAAUCGCGGAUCAGCAUGCCGCGGUGAAUACGUUCCCGGGCCUUGUACACACCGCCCGUCACACCAUGAGAGUUUGUAACACCCAAAGUCGGUGGGGUAACCUUUUAGGAACCAGCCGCCUAAGGUGGGACAGAUGAUUAGGGUGAAGUCGUAACAAGGUAGCCGUAGGAGAACCUGCGGCUGGAUCACCUCCUUUCUAAGGAA
rnacentral:rRNA from 2 species